rnacentral:rRNA from 1 species
UACGUAGGUGGCAAGCGUUGUCCGGAUUUACUGGGCGUAAAGCGCGUGUAGGCGGCUUGUUAAGUCUGUCGUGAAAUCUCCCGGCUCAACCGGGAUAGGUCGACGGAUACUGGCAGGCUUGAGGGGAGCAGAGGAAGGUGGAAUUCCCGGUGUAGUGGUGAAAUGCGUAGAUAUCGGGAGGAACACCAGUGGCGAAGGCGGCCUUCUGGGCUCAACCUGACGCUGAUACGCGAAAGCGUGGGGAGCGAACCGG